CCUACCGAUUGAAUGACUCGGUGAGAAAUCGGGACCGUGAGUCCGUUUGCUUCAUUGCGAGUGGAUUGAUGGGAACUUUUUCUAACCUCGCCAUUUAGAGGAAGGUGAAGUCGUAACAAGGUU
rnacentral:rRNA from 1 species